rnacentral:lncRNA from 10 species
AAUGCAAAUUUCAACAAUGCAAAAACCUCAAUUACGUUUCCACCAUCUCAGCCUCAGCCCAGUUCUGUGCCCUUGCUGGAGAGGUGUUGAGGAUUUUUGCAUCAACAUUCAUUAAGGAUAUUGGCCUGAAAUUUUCUUUUUUUGUUGCUGUUUUUGUUUUUAAUUUUUUAAUUUUUUUACUUUAAAAUGUACAGUUAAAUUAUUGUUGACUACACUCACCCUGUUGUGCGUAUUUCUCUUGAUGCUAUCCUUCCCCUCUCCCCCCACCCCACACAGGCUCUGUGAUGUUCCCCACCCUGUGUCUAAGUGUUCUCAUUGUUCAAUUCCCACCUAUGAAUGAGAAGAAUGUAUAUUCUGUUGUUUGGGGGUGGAGAGUUCUGUACAUGUCUAUUAGUUGCAUUUGGU